rnacentral:misc_RNA from 1 species
AAGUCGUAACAAGGUUUCCGUAGGUGAACCUGCGGAAGGAUCAUUAAUGAUUGGGAGACUGUGCUGGCACUAUCUGGGUAUGUGCACGUCUCUAUAAACUCCAAUUUCUACACCCCUGUGCACCUUACAUAGGUAUAGGUUUUUCUGUGGGCUGUCUCUGGAUGGCUUGCUGGCCUUGCCUAUGCAUUUUACAAACGCUUCAGUUUUAGAAUGUCAUAUCGCAUACAAUGCAAUAUAUACAACUUUCAGCAACGGAUCUCUUGGCUCUC